AGACGGUGUCUUGUUGUCGGUCGUUGGUUCGUGGUGGCUAGCGUUUAGUUACGCUAGUGUGUGUGACGUCGGUGUGAAAGUCGACGACGUUUCCGACCCGUCUUGAAACACGGAUUACGGAGUGUUUGUCUGCUGCGAGUCAAAGGGUGUAAAAACCUUGCGGCGCAAUGAAAGUGAAGGUUAGUCUCGAACUGACCGACGUGGGAUCCGUGCUCUUCGGAGUGCGGCGCACCACGGCCCUAUGCGUGUCACUUGUGACUGUGUAGAGGUUGAGCAGUAGGCAAGCGACCCGAAAGAUGGUGAACUAUGCCUGAGUCAGGAUGAAGCCAGAGGAAACUCUGGUGGAAGUCCGUAUCGGUUCUGACGUGCAAAUCGAUCGAUAGACUUGGGUAUAGGGGCGAAAGACUAAUCGAUCCAUCUAGUAGCUGGUUCCUUCCGAAGUUUCCCUCAGGAUAGCUGGAACUCUUGCAGUUAUAUUCGGUAAAGCUAAUGAUUAGAGGCCUUGGGGACGUAAUGUCCUCAACCUAUUCUCAAACUUUCAAUGGAUAUGGCGUCGCAGUUUCUUUAGUGAACUGCGGCGUGAAUGCGAGUUCCAAGUGGGCCAUUUUUGGUAAGCAGAACUGGCGCUGUGGGAUGAACCAAACGUGGAGUUAAGGUGCCUAACUUCUCGCUUAUGAGACCCCAUAAAAGGUGUUGGUUGAUAUUGACAGCAGGACGGUGGCCAUGGAAGUCGGUACCCGCUAAGGAGUGUGUAACAACUCACCUGCCGAAUCAACUAGCCCUGAAAAUGGAUGGCGCUUAAGCGAGAGACCUAUACUCCGCCGUCGCGGCAUGUGCGUUGUCUAGCGCCAGGUCGCGACGAGUAGGAAGGACGUGGCGGUUGCGUUGAAGGCUAUGAGCGUAGGCUCGGCUGGAGCUUCCGUCAGUGCAGAUCGUAAUGGUAGUAGCAAAUAUUCAAGUUCGAUCCUUGAAGACUGAAGUGGAGAAGGGUUCCACGUGAACAGUAGUUGGAUGUGGGUCAGUCGAUCCUAAGGUACUGGCGAAAGCCUUGUAUCAUCGGUGGCGAAAAGCUUGCUUUUUGUCCCCGCCCGUCGAAAGGGAAUAGGGUUAAUAUUCCCUAACUGAGAA
rnacentral:ncRNA from 1 species